rnacentral:rRNA from 1 species
GUUAUUAAAAACAUGUCCUUUUGAUAAUAAUUUAAGGUCUAGUCUGCCCAAUGAUAACAAUAUGUAUUAAAUGGCCGCGGUAUAUUGACCGUGCAAAGGUAGCAUAAUCAUUAGUUUUUUAAUUGAAAACUUGUAUGAAAGGCUGGAUGAGGGGAUAACUGUCUCUAUCUAAAUUAAGUAGAAUUUUAUUUUUAAGUUAAAAAGCUUAAAUGUGUGUAAAAGACGAGAAGACCCUAUAGAGUUUGAUAAAAAUUUAUUUUAAUAAAAGUAGGUAAAAGUAAUUUAUUUAAAAGAGAUAAAUUUUUGUUUAAUUGGGGAGAUUAAAAAAUUAAGAAAACUUUUUUUAUUAUUUUACAUUGAUAAAUGAAAGGUUGAUUCUUGAAUUAAGAUUAAAAGAUAAAAUUACCUUAGGGAUAACAGCGUAAUUUUUUUUUAGAGUACAAAUUUAUAAAAAAGUUUGCGACYUCGA